GAUGGACGCUGGCGGCGUGCCUAAUACAUGCAAGUCGAGCGAACGGACGAGAAGCUUGCUUCUCUGAUGUUAGCGGCGGACGGGUGAGUAACACGUGGAUAACCUACCUAUAAGACUGGGAUAACUUCGGGAAACCGGAGCUAAUACCGGAUAAUAUUUUGAACCGCAUGGUUCAAAAGUGAAAGACGGUCUUGCUGUCACUUAUAGAUGGAUCCGCGCUGCAUUAGCUAGUUGGUAAGGUAACGGCUUACCAAGGCAACGAUGCAUAGCCGACCUGAGAGGGUGAUCGGCCACACUGGAACUGAGACACGGUCCAGACUCCUACGGGAGGCAGCAGUAGGGAAUCUUCCGCAAUGGGCGAAAGCCUGACGGAGCAACGCCGCGUGAGUGAUGAAGGUCUUCGGAUCGUAAAACUCUGCUAUUAGGGAAGAACAUAUGUGUAAGUAACUGUGCACAUCUUGACGGUACCUAAUCAGAAAGCCACGGCUAACUACGUG
rnacentral:rRNA from 1 species